AAAAAGGCUGCGGCUUUUUUCUGGCUUCAGCGCCGCGGCUGGAGUUCUGGCAUGUUUCCUGGAUGUGGAUCCCUGCCUUUACUGCCUGCUGCCGCUACCCAAGACAACUGGCUCUGUGCAGCGGGGUCUCUCUCCACAGUCUCGGCAUUUCUGCAACAGUGGAUUCAGCCAGGAGGCACCACUGGAAUGUUCAUCAUGAACCUCUUUGUGUCUCCCUCCUGUGAUUUAAGCUCAAGAAUAUACUCUAUAGUUCCAACCAUGAUUCCAAUCCUUACCCGCUGUUAAGAGAAAGGGAUAUUGAAGUCGAAGUCGGCCAGGAUUAUAGGCUUCUGACUCAGAAAGUUCACCAGUGCUCCAGGAUGAUUCACUGUUGCCAUGGAUGUCCUUGUAAAGCAGCUCGGAAACCUUGUGCUGUGUAUCAAACUUUCAGCCUUGUGGAUAGUGGAUGAGCACUCUACCAUUCAGCCUUAUCUCUGGCUCUGUGAAGACACCAAAUCUGUCAGAUCUUUGUGAGAGAGUACACAGCAGAAGAGGAGGGGAAUCUUCCCAGUGAUUAAGGAUUUGGAGGAAUCAGUCUUUCUACUGACAUCUUGAAAUGUGAGCUGGACAAAGGAAAUGGUAUCCCACUCAGUCAGGGGCUGCUUUAUUCUCACUUCAUAGGAAUCAGGAGACUUCAUGAGAAAAUUAUAAAGAAAUGAAGCAGGAAGUAUGACUACAGUUGUUUGAUCUCAGUUUCACAAAACAUCAUUCAACAAUGCAAUCAGUCUCUGGAGAUGCACCCCAGACCACAGCACAGAAUUUAGACAUUUGAGAUCAAGUUUGAAGAAAGUGAAGCUCAGUGAACUACUGGUGAAGUUUCAUCAAUCUUUAUUCCUCUG